GACGAACGCUGGCGGCGUGCCUAAUACAUGCAAGUAGAACGCUGAAGGAGGAGCUUGCUCUUCGGAUGAGUUGCGAACGGGUGAGUAACGCGUAGGUAACCUGCCUGGUAGCGGGGGAUAACUAUUGGAAACGAUAGCUAAUACCGCAUAAUAUUGACUAUUGCAUGAUAGUCAAUUGAAAGGUGCAAAUGCACCACUACCAGAUGGACCUGCGUUGUAUUAGCUAGUUGGUGGGGUAACGGCUCACCAAGGCGACGAUACAUAGCCGACCUGAGAGGGUGAUCGGCCACACUGGGACUGAGACACGGCCCAGACUCCUACGGGAGGCAGCAGUAGGGAAUCUUCGGCAAUGGACGGAAGUCUGACCGAGCAACGCCGCGUGAGUGAAGAAGGUUUUCGGAUCGUAAAGCUCUGUUGUAAGAGAAGAACGAGUGUGAGAGUGGAAAG
rnacentral:rRNA from 1 species